AUGCCAGUUCUGGACCCCUCCCACCUUUAUGAUCCAUUCGACCUGUCUGCACUGGAGGUGCCUUUCACUUGGGGCGAAAUUGCAGCAGCAAUUCAGAAUGCACCAAACAACAGGAGCCCAGGGCCAGAUGGGUUCACAAGUGAAUUUUACAAAAGUUUUCUUGGGCUGCUGAAGGAGGACUUCCUGGGGUUUUUCCAAGAGUUUUAUGAGCAUAGCAGUGACCUACUCGGCAUCAACACCGCCAACAUUGCGCUUCUUCCAGAAAAAGAAGACCCAACAGAUAUUAAGGACUUCAGGCCUAUCUCUCUAGUUCAUAGUGUCCCGAAGCUUGUCACCAAGGUGCUGGCAGUGCGGUUACAGAGACUGAUCCAGGAUCUCAUCCACCCCCUCCAAUCUGGCUUUCUCCGAGGACGAUGCAUUAUUGAAAACUUUGCACUGGCAGCCGAGCUAGUACAGCAAGCCAGGAAGAGGAAAGCGCCAAUGAUUGUUCUGAAGCUUGAUUUUCAAAAAGCGUUUGACAGUGUUAGCUGGGAGGCUCUAAAACAAAUCCUUGCAGCAAGGGGCUUUGGGGACAGAUGGAUCAGAUGGGUGGAUGAUAUCCUAGCUUCUAGUUCCUCUAGAAUUUUUAUCAACGGUACUCCCGGCGAAAGGAUCUUAUCAAAGUGUGGCCUACGGCAGGGGGAUGCCCUGUCUCCAUACCUCUUCAUUUUGUUCGCAGAUAUCCUACAACAGCUCUGCUAG
rnacentral:rRNA from 1 species